rnacentral:rRNA from 1 species
UACGAGGGGUGCAAGCGUUGCUCGGAAUUAUUGGGCGUAAAGGGUUGGUAGGUGGUCUUAUUUGUCGGGGGUGAAAUCCUUGGGCUUAACUCAAGAAGUGCCCCCGAAACGGUGAGACUGGAGUCUUGGAGAGGGUCGCGGAAUACCCGGUGUAGCGGUGAAAUGCGUAGAGAUCGGGUGGAACACCAGAGGCGAAGGCGGCGACCUGGACAAGUACUGACACUCAACAACGAAAGCGUGGGGAGCAAACAGG